AUUGAACGCUGGCGGCAUGCUUUACACAUGCAAGUCGAACGGUAACAGGUUAAGCUGACGAGUGGCGAACGGGUGAGUAAUGCAUCGGAACGUGCCCGAUCGUGGGGGAUAACACUUCGAAAGAAGCGCUAAUACCGCAUACGAUCUGAGGAUGAAAGCGGGGGACCGUAAGGCCUCGUGCGAUCGGAGCGGCCGAUGUCAGAGUAGGUAGUUGGUGGGGUAAAGGCUCACCAAGCCGACGAUCUGUAGCUGGUCUGAGAGGACGACCAGCCACACUGGGACUGGGACACGGCCCAGACUCCUACGGGAGGCAGCAGUGGGGAAUUUUGGACAAUGGGCGCAAGCCAGAUCCAGCAAUGCCGCGUGCAGGAAGAAGGCCUUCGGGUUGUAAACUGCUUUUGUACGGAGCGAAAAGGCUCCCUCUAAUACAGGGGGCUCAUGACGGUACCGUAAGAAUAAGCACCGGCUAACUACGUGCCAGCAGCCGCCGUAA
rnacentral:rRNA from 1 species